rnacentral:rRNA from 1 species
AUGGCGGCGAGGAGCGAGAACGAGUCGGACGGCGACGUGGGCACCAACCCCGCCGAGGGGGGCUCGUCCCUGUCCCUGCCGCCUCUAGCUGCCGGUCCAGCCGUGUGCGUCCUCCGGUCCGCCGGGGACUUCGCCGGCGGCGCCUUCGUCGGAUCUAUCUUUGGAUAUGGACAAGGUUUGCUAUCUAAGAAGGGUUUGAAGGGCUCACUCGGCAAUGCAGGGUCUUCUGCCAAAAGUUUUGCAGUUCUUUCUGGCGUCCAGAGUUUGGUUUUGUGCUUGUUGAGGAAGCUGCGUGGGAAAGAUGAUAUCAUCAAUUCCGGCAUUGCUGGUUGUUGCACAGGUCUUGCUUUGAGUUUUCCAGGUACACCACAAGCGCUGCUUCAGAACUGCGCCACCUUCGCAGCAUUCUCAUGCAUCAUGGAGGGGCUCAACAAGCAGCAGACCGCGAUGGCGCACACCCUCACUGGGAACGCCUUGACCUUUGCACACGACAAUGGCGCGGGCGUCCUCCCCCCCUUCACUCUCCCCCCAAUCCUCGAUGCUUCCGAUGCUUUCGCCUCAUGCUGCCAGGCCUUGGUCGCCAAGCCUAAGAAGCACUAG